GCCAGACUCCUACGGGAGGCAGCAGUGGGGAAUAUUGCACAAUGGGGGGAACCCUGAUGCAGCGACGCCGCGUGAGUGAAGAAGUAUUUCGGUAUGUAAAGCUCUGUCAGCAGGGAAGAAGAAAGACGGUACCUGACCAAGAAGCCCCGGCUAACUACGUGCCAGCAGCCGCGGUAAUACGUAGGGGGCAAGCGUUAUCCGGAUUUACUGGGUGUAAAGGGAGCGUAGACGGCAGUGCAAGUCUGAAGUGAAAGGCGGGGGCCCAACCCCCGGACUGCUUUGGAAACUGUGCUGCUGGAGUGCAGGAGAGGCAAGUGGAAUUCCUAGUGUAGCGGUGAAAUGCGUAGAUAUUAGGAGGAACACCAGUGGCGAAGGCGGCCUGCUGGACUGUAACUGACGUUGAGGCUCGAAAGCGUGGGGAGCAAACAGGAUUAGAUACCCUGGUAU
rnacentral:rRNA from 1 species